rnacentral:rRNA from 1 species
UACGGAAGGCAGCAGUGGGGAAUAUUGCACAAUGGGCGCAAGCCUGAUGCAGCCAUGCCGCGUGUAUGAAGAAGGCCUUCGGGUUGUAAAGUACUUUCAGUCGUGAGGAAGGUGUUAAGGUUAAUAACCUUAGCAAUUGACGUUAGCGACAGAAGAAGCACCGGCUAACUCCGUGCCAGCAGCCGCGGUAAUACGGAGGGUGCGAGCGUUAAUCGGAAUUACUGGGCGUAAAGGGCACGCAGGCGGUUAAUUAAGUUGGAUGUGAAAUCCCCGGGCUUAACCUGGGAAUGGCAUUCAAGACUGGUUAGCUAGAGUCUUGUAGAGGGGGUAGAAUUCCGAUGUGUAGCGGUGAAAUGCGUAGAGAUGUGGAGGAAUACCGGGUGGCGAAGGCGGCCCCUGGGACAAAGGACUGACGCUCAUGUGCGAAAGCGUGGGGAGCGAAACAGGGAUUAGAUACC